GAGGCCAUGCGGACGCAGCAGCUCCGCCCACCCUCCGCCUCCCACCUCGAUUCCGGGAUCUGGCAGCCAAUGAGAGCUUAGGCGAUUCAAUUUGGGCAUGCUAAGAGGAUCCCCAGCAUGCUUUGCAGCCCCAGCCAUGGAGGAGGAGCAGGAGGCUGCACUUUCGGCGCUCGAUCUCCGGCUAGCUUGGCCAGGUGCUGGUGGUGUCAGCAAACCAGGAACUGGCAAAAAUGACGUGUUGCAAGUAAUUUCAAGUUGGAGGAAUGCAGAUCCCGGAAAAUGUGCAGAAUAGGGCAUGUUCCCUCUGCGCUGCUGUCUUGCAAGAUCAGCUUGCAACAACCACCAUCCCACACUAUGGGGUUUGCACUCACACAUUAGCAUUACCUUCCACAGGGUGGAUUUGAUUUAAAUCAAAUCAAUUUAAAUGAUUAAUCAUGGUUUAAAUCACUAGACAAUUGAGAAUGACAUCAAAAUCCAGUGGAUAGCUAAAGUCCAAUCCGGUCAUGAGUCAAGGAGGUGUGAAACAGGUCAGUGCAUAUCAGAAUCCCUCCUGUGCUGCAUCAUUUGUGGGAAGACUUCUGGAAAGUUGUAUUUGCUGCAUUCAUCUAUGUACCUUUGCAAACAAUCCUCAAUAAAGCUGCAUUGUUCAUCUAGCAAUACUGUACAUAA